AGGAUUAGAUGUAAAAAAGGUCUAAGAUGAGCUCCAAAAUGAGCGUCUCUGGGGAGCAGCACACACAGGAAGCUGGGAGGUCUAGUAAGAGUGUCUCUGGGGAACUGGACACAAUGAAACCUGAGAGACUGGAUCAGGAUAAGAGAUCAGACUCACCUGAACCCAGCUGUGUCUCCAUGAAGAGUGGCUGGUCAAUGGAUCAUCCUAUAUACUUCAGAGAGGACAACAGUUCUGCUGA